rnacentral:piRNA from 1 species
AGGAAAAGGUGCUGUGCUUUGAUGUGCACA